rnacentral:lncRNA from 1 species
CUCUCGGGUCCCACUGCAAUGACUCACUGCUCUUAGGGUGUACCCUUUCCUUUUCACUGUCUUGACUAUUACUUUCCUCAUUUUAUGAUCUAUUGCAAAAUCUUAACAGCUGGUGGCAACAGAGCAAGCCCAAGAUAGCCAACUAACCAUGAGAAGGAGUCUACCUAGAACUUUAAGUGUUAGUCAUGCAAGAGAUAUGUUUAAAGACAUGAGUAAGCCUCUAUGAGCUCGGAGAAACCGUUUCCUAAGAAUAAAGAAAAAGAGACCACAUUCUGACAGCCAGAAAGGAUUCCAUUCUUCAAGGAAUGAUCUUUGAGGGGGAUCCCAUAGUCCAAGAGAUCAAAAUGCUUGUUGAUAGAAAACACCUUAAAGAAAUCCUUGCUAAAAUGUGAUUUUUUAAAAAAAAGAAUAAUUAUUAAACAAAAUUUUAUAGAAAUCAAAACAAAGCUGCUUCGAAGUCAAGUAAUACUAA